GUUAGCUUCUGCGAAGCUACGAAUCGAAGCCCCAGUAAACGGCGGCCGUAACUAUAACGGUCCUAAGGUAGCGAAAUUCCUUGUCGGGUAAGUUCCGACCCGCACGAAAGGCGUAACGAUUUGGGCACUGUCUCAACGAGAGACUCGGUGAAAUCAUAGUACCUGUGAAGAUGCAGGUUACCCGCGACAGGACGGAAAGACCCCGUGGAGCUUUACUGUAGCCUGAUAUUGAAAUUCGGCACAGCUUGUACAGGAUAGGUAGGAGCCUUUGAAACGUGAGCGCUAGCUUACGUGGAGGCGCUGGUGGGAUACUACCCUAGCUGUGUUGGCUUUCUAACCC
rnacentral:rRNA from 1 species